AGUCCAUGAUAGGGACAUUGUUGCAAAAGUUCCUUCAAUCUGACCCAUGCAUCACACAACGACUCCCCAUCUCUUUGCCCAAAGCUUGUGAUUUGAUUCCUUAAAU